CCUACGGGUGGCAGCAGUAGGGAAUCUUUCACAAUGGGCGAAAGCCUGAUGGAGCAACGCCGCGUGCAGGAUGAAAGCCUUCGGGUUGUAAACUGCUUUUAUAAGCGAGAAAUAUGAUGGUAACUUAUGAAUAAGGAUCGGCUAACUACGGGCCAGCAGCCGCGGUCAUACGUAGGAAGCGAGCAUUAUACGGAGUGACUGUGUGUAAAGAGUUGCGUAGGUGGGAUAAUAAGUAGCUAGUGAAAACUGGUGGCUCAACCAUUCAGACUAUUAGCUAAACUGUUAAGCUUGAGACCGUUAGGGGUAACUGGAAUUUCUGGUGUAGGAGUGAAAUCCGUAGAUAUUAGAAGGAACACCAAUAGCGAAGGCAGGUUGCUGGGAC
rnacentral:rRNA from 1 species